ensembl:lncRNA
UCUCUCUCUCUCUCUCUCUCUCUCUCUGUCUGUGUGAACACAGUCAGCGGAUCUCCUGAAGGGGCGUCUAAGCCAAUCCCAUCCUUCCACGCCCUGAACGCCGGGGGUCGUGACCUGCUGGUGUGACACUGUCCGCCUGUUUGGCAGUCAGAAGAUCUCAUUGGUUCGUUCCAGCCCUGUGUUUGGCCUGGGUCCAGCAGGUUCUUGAGCAGGCUCCUCUACUAUGUUACCAGGCCUUCUUCAGAGGAGCUGUGAUGGGGGUGGUGCAACAACCUCAGCACCCCUACUUCCCGCAGCCAUGAUCAUACGCACUUAAAUAGGACAUGGAGGACACUUUUCCG